rnacentral:rRNA from 1 species
AGAGUUUGAUUAUGGCUCAGGAUGAACGCUGGCGGCGUGCUUAACACAUGCAAGUCGAACGAGGUCCAACCUUCGGGUGAAGACCGAGUGGCGAACGGGUGAGUAACACGUGGGGAACCUGCCCUUCUCUCUGGGAUAACCUCGGGAAACCGAAGCUAAUACCGGAUACUCCUUGCGGACCGCAUGGUCUGCUCGGGAAAGCUCCGGCGGAGAAGGAUGGCCCCGCGGCCCAUUAGCUUGUUGGUGGGGUAACGGCCCACCAAGGCGACGAUGGGUAGCCGAGCUGAGAGGCUGAUCGGCCACACUGGGACUGAGACACGGCCCAGACUCCUACGGGAGGCAGCAGUGGGGAAUCUUGCGCAAUGGGCGAAAGCCUGACGCAGCAACGCCGCGUGCGGGAUGAAGGCUCUCGGGUCGUAAACCGCUUUCAGCAGGGAUGAAAAUGACAGUACCUGCAGAAGAAGCCCCGGCUAAAUACGUGCCAGCAGCCGCGGUAAUACGUAUGGGGCAAGCGUUAUCCGGAUUCAUUGGGCGUAAAGCGCGCGUAGGCGGCUUGUUAAGUCAGGCGUGAAAUCCGGGGGCUCAACCCGCGGCUUGCGUCUGAAACUGGCAGGCUUGAGUCUGGUAGAGGAAAGUGGAAUUCCUGGUGUAGCGGUGAAAUGCGCAGAUAUCAGAGGAACACCAGUGGCGAAGCGGCUUUCUGGGCCACGACUGACGCUGAGGCGCGAAAGCUAGGGGAGCGAACAGGAUUAGAUACCCUGGUAGUC